AACCUCAGUGCAGAUGCAAGCACAAACACCGUUCCUGUAGUGGUCCCCAGAGAGCCUUCCGUGGCAGCACCCUGUGCUGUGUCAGCAGCAUUUGAGCGGUCCCCUUCCCCAGCCCAUUUACCCGAGGAUCCCAAGGUGGCAGAAAAGCAGAGGGAAUCCCACAGUGUGGACAGACUCCCUUCUACCCCUACUACAACUGCAUGUAAAUCAGUGCAGGUGAAUGGAGCAGCAACAGAAUUGCGAAAGCCCAGUUAUGCAGAGAUUUGUCAGAGAACGAGUAAAGAGCCUCCAUCCUCCCCAUUGCAACCCCCAAAAGAACAAAAGCCAAACACUGUCGCCUGUGGGAAGGAGGAGAAGAAGCUUACUGAACCUGUGGAGAGAUACAGAGAACCCCCUGCCCUCAAGUCCACUCCUGGGGUCCCCAAAGAUCAGAGGAGGCAGCCUGGGCGCCGACCCUCGCCUCCAGCUGCUGGGAAGCGUCUAAACAGGGAACAGAACACUCCCCCCAAGUCUCCUCAGUGAAAGCCGGAUGCCUGGGAGGGGUCUGGAAGAGCUGUAUUCACCACAAACGAAGCUCUCCCACUCAGUACGGAAUGAGCCGCUGGUUAGGAGCUUGCAGUGUCUGUGAGGCCCAUGGGAUGCCUGCAAGUUAUUUUCCUUCUGUGAGUCGGAUUUUCCCCCCUUGAAAAAAAAAAUCUAUUUUUCAGGAUUUAAUUAUAUGAUAUAAACCUUAUUUUAGGUUGGUGCUUAACUGGAGGUGAUGCAGAAGUCUGUUUUUCAGGAUAGAAAAUGUAUUUAUCCUAACAAAUGGAUAUUUUUUAUUAAGCCUCCACAUGGCUCUGAAUGCAAGCUAUAUAUGAGUUUUUCUAAAUUAAGGGAACUAUGCUACUUCAUUUUUUUUUU